rnacentral:misc_RNA from 1 species
AACGCACGAGACCUGCGGACCUGCGGAAGGAUCAUUACCGAGUGUUACAGCUCCCAAACCCACUGUGAACGUACCCAUCGUUGCUUCGGCGGGACCGCCCCGGCGCCUCCGCGCGCCGGGCACGGGCGCCCGCCGGGGGCCCGAAACUCUUGCCUCCUCGCGUGGAUUCUCUGAGUGGCACGAAAAGGGAAAAUGAAUCAAAACUUUCAACAAUGGAUCUCUAGAUCGGAAGAGCACACG